AUGAGUGGCGAACGGGUGAGUAACACGUGAGUAACCUGCCCCUUCUUUGGGAUAACGCCCGGAAACGGGUGCUAAUACUGGAUAUUCACUGAUCUUCGCAUGGGGGUUGGUGGAAAGGUUUGUUCUGGUGGGGGAUGGGCUCGCGGCCUAUCAGCUUGUUGGUGGGGUGAUGGCCUACCAAGGCUUUGACGGGUAGCCGGCCUGAGAGGGUGACCGGUCACAUUGGGACUGAGAUACGGCCCAG
rnacentral:rRNA from 1 species